rnacentral:lncRNA from 1 species
AGAGCCGGUGCGACGUUUCCCUUUCCAGCUUUGUUCUUCCGGCCCUGCUGUCUGCCUCCCCGGCUGAUUGGAUUCGUUACUGCUUUGCAACGCGCACCUAACUCCAGACGGGGUCUCACUCUGUCGCCCAGGCUGGAGUGCAGUGGCACAAUCUCAGCUUGCUGUGACCUCAGCUCUCUGCGACCUCUGCUUGCUGGACUCAAGCGAUCCUCCCACCACCUCAGCCUCCUGAGUAGCUGGAACCAUCAUAUGCACCAGCACGCCUGGCUAAGCUGGAAUGCAAUAGCGUGGUCUUGGCUCACUGCAACCUCCGCCUCCCGGGUUCAAGCAAUUCUCCUGCCUCAGCCUCCUAAGUAGCUGGGACUACAGGGGCCCUCCUGCUGCUCCCUCCAUGAGGCUGGUCCUGAAGGAAUAGGCCUGUGGCUCGUCCCUCCUCCCCAUCUCGGCCCUGAGGCAAACAUACCUUCCACAGCUCUGGGAGCACCGCCUCCACCCAGGUCUCACAGGAUGGGACACAAGGAUAGGCAUUAAGCAGGACUUCCAGGGCCCGAGGGAAGUUGGCGCAGUGUUUCAGCAUCUAGGGGUCAAAAGAGGGUCUUGGGCACAUGCCUCCCCCACCCGAGGGCAGACCCAAGUCUUGCCUCACCCACAUGGCCAAUCCUAGCCUAAUCUGGGGGGCUAAGGUCUGAGUCUCUCUUCCCUUUUUUGUGCCUCUGUCUACCCCACCCUCAAGUAUGCUCCAACCUUUUGGCCCCAGUUUUCCUCUGGGGCUCUUCCCUCCCUUGGACUCUCUCUCCCAGAAUCCUCUCUCCCCCUCCCAAGCUGGGGACAGCCCCCUGGCCACUGAGGGCAGGCUUUCAGUCUCUUGGACCCUCUGUCUUCCCCAGAAGCGGAGCAGUUCCAGCCGCGGGCUCCCCCACACAGGAGCCUCCUAUGUCAGGGCCUCCCAGCGCACCUCAGGGCGCACUGGCUGCGCCCCGUAGUCCAGCAGUGCGGCGAAAAGGACUUCAGGCUCCCAGUUGGGGGAGUCCUGGACGGCCUGCAGCGCACAGUCCAUGGGCGUGUGGCCCGCCCCAUUGGGGACCUCAGCGCGGGCCCCGUAACGCAGCAGCAGCUCGGCCAGGCCCCCGCAGCCGUUGGCACAAGCGUUGUGCAGCGGCGUGUGGCGCUUGCGCCCGGCCGCCCGGGCAUCAGCUCCAGCCUCCAGGAGCCGGCGCGCCGCAGCCUGGUGUCGCCUGCAGCUACCUGGGCCCUCGGCCCCAGCGCACGCCGUGUUCAGCGCAGUCUCGCCCUGGCUGGUGCGCAGGCCCACGUCGGCGCCAUGCUCCAGGUACAGAGCCACAUGUUGCUCCAGGCCGCGCGCCGCCGCCACGUGCAGGGGCGUCUCCUGGCUCUCGCCUGCUGCCAGGUUCACCGUCGCUCCUGCUUCCAGCAGCAACUUGGCGCACCUGGGGACAAGAGAGCAAGGUCCUGAGGAAAAUCCUGAAGGCUUGGGACCCCUUCAGCUUGCUGUGACACUCCCUUGCCUUUCCACCCCUCUCAGCUUGAGGUCCUACCUGGUGUCCUCCAUGAGAAUCAUACAAGCCCCGCUACAGACAACAGAAUUGGAAGGUCCUGAGAGCUACCAGAAGCAUCUUCAGUUUUCAUAUGAAAAACUUAAGCCCAGGAGUGAUUUGUGCAGCCAAGGACACACAGCAAGUUAGUGGCUGCACCAGAAAUAGUACUCACUGCCUCAGACAGUCCCUCCCACAGUCUACUCUGUCUCCACCCCAAGGUCUGGUUCUGAAUCAUUCAGUUGUCAGUUGUCUCCUUUUUUUUUUUUUUUUUUGGAGACAGGGUCUCUCUCUGUGGCCCAGGCUGAAGUGCAGUGGUGUGAUUACAGCUCAUGUAGCCUGGACCUCCCAAGCUCAAGCAAUCCUCCUGCCUCUGCCUCCCAAGUAGCUGGGACCACAGGUGGGCAGCACCACACCUGGCUAAUUUUUUAAAUUUUUUUUUAUAGAGACAGGGUCUUACCAUUUGCCCCAGCUGGUCUCAAACCCCUGGGCUCAAGCAAGCCUCCUGCCUUGGCCUCCCAAAGUGCUGGGAUUACAGGUGUGAGCCACCACACCCGGCCUUAUCUCCUAACAUUUUGAUAGCACAAAAUUUUGAAAACCCACUUCUGUGUACGUUAUGAAGCAUAGAAAAUUAAACAGUAUGCACCAAAAAAAAAUAAA